AUCGAACGCUGGCGGCAGGCCUAACACAUGCAAGUCGAGCGAGCGGCGGACGGGUGAGUAAUGUAUGGGGACUGCCCGAUAGAGGGGGAUAACUACUGGAACCGGUGGCUAAUACCGCAUACUAUCGGAUAACCCAUAUGGGAUUAGCUAGUAGGUGGGGUAAAGGCUAACCUAGGCGACGAUCUCUAGCUGGUCUGAGAGGAUGAGCAGCCACACGGGGACUGAGACACGGCCCCGACUCCUACGGAGGCAGCAGUGGGGAAUAUUGCACAAUGGGCGCAAGCCUGAUGCAGCCAUGGCGCUUGUAUGAAGAAGGCCUUAGGGUUGUAAAGUACUUUCAGCGGGGAGGCGUUAACCGCAGAAGAAGCACCGGCUAACUCCGUGCCAGCAGCCGGGGUAAUUC
rnacentral:rRNA from 1 species